CAGGUGCGGCGGCGGCGGGAAUUAGCAACAGAGCAGCAGCGGCAGCGAUGAAGGUGGGGCUGGGAGGUGCAUUAGUCUGAACAACAGGCGCGGAGGCGGCGGGAAUUAGCAACGGAGUAGCAGCGGCAGCGACGAAGGUGGGGCUGGGAGAUGCAUUAGUCUCAACAGCAGGCGCGGCGGCGGCGGGAAUUAGCAACGGAGUAGCAGCGGCAGCGACAAAGGUGGGCCUGGGAGAUGCAUUAGUCUGAACAACAGGCGCGGCGGCGGCGGGAAUU
rnacentral:lncRNA from 1 species